UUAUUAUUCGUUGUCUUACCAACCUGUGAAACUUAUCCGAAAUUCAUAUUCCUUUUUUGCCAAUACAGUUAUGGACAAUAUGGACAGUUUUAAUUAUUCUUGAUUAUUCAGAUAGAUCAUUCCAAUAUGAUUCUUAGAGGGUCGAAGGACGGUUGCUUUGAAAGGAUAUUCAUUAUGUUCCUGAAAGUGCGGAGUCUUCGUAACAGCUUUUAAAAGGUGACAAAAUCCCCUUAGAGCACGGUUCGCAAGGGUAGGCUAAAUUACAAUUAAUUAAUUGACUUCGACUCCCUGUAAUUCAUGCGGUAAGUCAAACUUAAUUAAUUACCCUUUAGGGUCAAACAGAAGAGGGUUAGAGAAAAAAGAACUUUCCAUCUUCUGAUUUUAAGAGGUAUUUGUAAUGCUUUGGCUUAUGAACUGUUUGGUUCUUAAAAAUAUGCAUCAAUAAUUAGCCUCGUAUAUCAAUCAGAGCUAAGUGAAAUUUAUUUUAAGUACUAAUUUAAAAAUAAUUACGUAAAAUAAUUUCAAAUAAAUUAUACAUAAUAUAUAUAUACAUAUAUAUAAAACUUAUUUCAGUUGAUGAUUAUGUUUUUCAUUUGGUCAAUUAAAGGAAUUUGAGGCGAGGUGAAUAAUUGGGAAAAUAAUUUGAAGAAUUGAUUAUUUGAGGAACAUUCAGAAUAAGUAUUGAACAAUGAAUAAGGUAUAUUCUAAAAUUUAGAAUAUUGUUUAUUUAUCGAAAAAUAAAAAACUUCUUAAAAAAAGAAACAAUGAUAAUAAAAAUGAAAAUACUAUCGAUGAAAGCAACAGUUUUACCUCGUAUCCGACAUCAAUAAAGUAGGUUGAAAUGUCAGUGGUUGAAAAGGCUAUUAAUUACAGACACCCUUCUCUAUUGUAACGCCGAUAACUUUUCUAUUAUCCUUUUAAAAGGAGAUUUAAGGCCAAAUAGUCUUAACAACAGCACGUUUGCAGGUCGUAUAAUCCUUACUAUCAUUAUCGAAAUUUUUUUUUCUUUUUUAACACGACUUUUACAUCUGCUCCGAAACGAAUAAAAAUCUCGUUAUCCGGAAAAGACUAUCCUCAGCUGUUACGCUACACCCACAGAUGUUUCUAUUUGCAACACUUAUGAAAGUAUAAGCCAGAAAUUUGACAGAAUAUGAUUUUAUUUUUGGGAGUCAUAAAAUUUCAAAGGCAAGGACCACCACGUACACACAUGCUACGAUCCUUUGUUGUUAAUGGAAGCCUUGAUGAUCGCGGACAAUCGCCGAAGGUGUCUGUCUGCCUGACAAGCCGACACUCUCUACAUUGUAAUUAAUCAAUAUUACAUCGACAAUACUUGUAUGUGUGUUCGAGGCAAAAGCUAUUGUCGUAAUUUGCUGCCCUUCUCUUUUUUGUUUACGCCGCAAUCGGCCACAACCGCGAUUUUAAUUGUACCGCUUUAAAGCAACAUUUUAAAAGUUGGUUGCUCAAACGAGAUGUACUUAAUGAAUCUUCGCGAUGCUAAUUGCACCGACUUGCAAAUUGCUCCGACGAUUUCCGCCUCAUGCAUGUAUGAAUUAUAAAAAUUUCAUGAAUCAUGCAGUAAAUCAUUAAAAUAUUUUAUAUAAAUCAACGAGCAAUAAAAAAUAGUUGUAUAAGUAAACGUUUUUCUCUCGUGUUUUAAAAUGAUAUAAUGCAAAAAAAUCUAUUGGUUUUUAAUUGCUAUUUAAUUUUUCUAUCUAUUUCUAUUUAAAUAGAUUAUUAAUUAGAUAUUAUAGAUAAUAUAAAAAAAUGCUACAUAUAGAUAAUACCGACAGAAGUUUUGCAUAUUUUGAAUGUGAGUGAAAAUUAAUCGUGAGAGUUAAAAAAAAAAAAAAGAGAGAGAGUUAGAGCGAAAAUUUGGCGAGAAGCGGGAAAGGGUAAUUACUAAUGAUCGCGGAGGAUCGUUAUUAACCUUUCUGGUGGCGAGAGGCAUCAGGACGUAGCAGGACCAUUGUCCAUUCCGCUAGGUUCAUUACGGUGUUCCAGUAGGGAAUGAGGCGAUGGUCGGCUGGAUGAUGUAAAAAAGGGUAAAAGAGAAAUAAGAAAAGUGUCGGGGGUCAGAGGAGACCGAACGGCUACCGUGAAUGGCGCAGCCUGACCCAAGAGCUGCCGGGCAUCAAAAGGGCCUCAAAAGGACCGCUUCGAACCUCGGCCUGUCCGAAGCUCAUUUGUUUUCACCGGCGCAUGGAAAGAUCGAUCGACCGAUGUCUUAACCCUACACUCUCCACGGAAUCAUCCGCUUUCGAUAAGAAAAAUUCUGAGGCAUUAAUUAGAUCGGCCGGUAAUAGAGUCAUGAUGGAAAACUGAUUGCCUGCGUCGAAGUUACGACAAUUUACUUACCUAUCAACUAUCUUCUAUGCAUUUUCUUCCAUUUUCUCCUUGGUAGUAUUUAACAUAGUUUUAUUAAUUCAUUUUUCUCAAAGAUUCAUUGCAUUAUUUUUUUGUUUUGUAAGUUUAUAUUUAAUAUUUGUUUUUAUACAGUUUAUUUUAUAUGAAAUUAUCUAAUAUUUCUCUUUUAAUUUUUUUUUUUAUUUGUUCUUUUCUUAGAUCACGUUAAGCUAGAUUAACUAUCUCUUAGAUAACAUUUUCAAUAUGAUAUCCAUAAUCGUGCAAGUCUCUGAUAUUUGUUAUAAAAUGAUGAAAAAUACGAUGAAAUCCAGAAUUGUUAUACUGAUGACAAGAUCUCUGUAUGUAGAAUAGAAAAUUCCCAUGAGGUUUCUUGCGAUCGAUGGAUGAUCGUUAAUUCGAAUGGACGAAAUGAUCGGUAACAUUAGACUAGAUAAUUCGAUGAGCAAAACAAAAAGAAUAUAAAUUUAUAUUCUCCAUCGAAUCAUUGUAUCUUACGUUCUCACGGCAAAAACACGGUAGAUUAUCUUACGUGAUUGGAGUGGAUGAAAAUUCCACGUAGACGGACGUGCGGGGUGGAAGUGUUGGGAAUUUUAGAAAAAUCGGAUGAGGAAGAGGUUACACGAGGGGAUACUAGGAUUGCAUUUACAAGGGGGAUUUGUACGGUAGUCGAGAAACGAAGUGAAAUUAUCGAUGCGAUUGCCACUGGAACAGACUCUCGGUUGAAGGGCCGACAAAGGGUCGAUCAGUGAUUCUCUCCAUCUCCUUUCAUCUCGUUCCUUUUUCGAAAGAUAACCCCACGGUGGCCACCUUUUUGUUUGCACAGUGAGAUUGCUUGCCUCUUGCUCGGAAAUUGACCGAAGAUUACGGCCGACCGACGUUUGCUCUGCGGCCACGGCCUUAACUUUGCGCUACCACAAAAAUAUCAUUGGCUUCCUCCUUUUCCCUUCCAACUUCUUUGUCUUCUUCUUUCUAUAAUUUUUUUCCUUCAGGUAUUGAUUUCUUUCGUGUUUUAUACAUAUAUGAAAAACCAAUCGAUCUUUUACCUUUUUUCUCGCUCAAAAACUUGAAAUUUUAAAAUUCAAAUUAAUUUCCUCUAAAUAAAUGGUACGUAACAGCUUAUGAAAAAAUUAUUCUUAUGAUCUAUUGAUAUGUUGCAACGAAAAUUACAAUAUACAAAUGUAAUAAUAUUUUAUAUAUCCUACAUAUUAGUUGAAUAGAUAUUGUAUAUUGUAUAUAUUGCAAUCCAGUCAUUAUAUAUUAUAUUCUUCAAAUUUUUUCCCAAAACGUAUCGACAUCGAUAAAAUCGUUCUUUUUAUUCUUGAUUUACAAACAAAGUAAAGUAUCAUCUAUCGUUCGUCUGAGAAAUUAUACGACAAACAUUUUAACUGCGACGUAACCACAAAACUUCUCUUUCCCCGGUCGUACACUUCCCUUUCCUCCUUAUCCCGAAGAGAGAUGAUGUCUAAGCUUAUUAUCGAGACCCUCGAGACCUCUCUUUCUCUCCAUCUUGCAGGAUUUGAUCGAAGUUGAUGGAGCGAGCACGGAGCUAACCGCCCAGAGUAUUAUGUGUCGAAAAAUAUUCAAGAAAACCUCUUCGGCCAGUCCUUCGGAGGAGCAAUGACUUUUGUCCGCCACGAUACUGUCAGAAGUGAUUACCCGUAAUGGAUCAAGCUCUUUAAUGCUCUACCCACGUGCGCUAGAAGAAUUAUCCGUUCGAGAGGCAGCUAGAGCUUGUUUAAAGGGCGUUGUACGCCCGUUAUACGACGCGGUAACAAGCGCGAUUUCAGUUCACGGUGUACAAUUAAAAGUAACACGGCUCGAUGCGCGUUAACGCGAGCGAGUCGAAUCGUUUGAUCCUCCGUAGAAAAAUUGCGCGCUCUAUUCCGAGAGAAAGAGAAAGAUUUAUGACAUACGGUUCUAAAGAUCGUAAAUCAUUUGGUAUAUCGUAAACAGCCAAUAAGCCGAGAUCAAAGAGACAUUAAACUCUGGUCGAAGUUGGAGAAGUGGGGUUAGAACCGGUUAAUCGUUGAUAGAGGAGUGAUUAUUAAAUAGAAAAAAAAAAAACAAGAAAAGAAAAAGAAAAGAUUAUUCUUCUCCUAGAGAAGGCUAAUUAUGAGAGGCAUUAAUUAAGCGCUAACGACGAAGGAUUAUUAACGAACAAAUCGGUUCUCCUUACAUGGGGACAAGGUUUUGAUCGACGAGCCACGAGUUUAGCCGAGGGCAACUACGACGGCCAAUCGAUCUAUCGAUUGAGAUCGAUCGAAUUACCGGUAUGCACGAUUCCUCGUAUCGAUAUAUAUGUAUAUGUAAGGAUCGAUUGCAGAAUGAAAGAUUGUGAACUAAUACGGGUGACAGAAGGGAGUGUACAGACGCACGGGAAAGACGCGAUUGAAUUACCAUAAAACGCCAUGAUUAACGUAAAGUAAACGAAUAUAAUGCCGCAAUAACCGCAACCUGUUCUAUAGCAGUUAGAGUAUGUCCCCGCAAUGGUUUCCUGUAUCUCUACGUCCGACGCGAUGUCUCUCACUUCUCUUUUAUCACAUCGUUCUCUGUGAAAUUAUAAUUUCGCGUACGAAUAGAUUUAAAUUUAAUUGGUAGUGGAAUUUUAAGAUUAUCAUCUGUGAUGAGAAGCACGAUAAAACUUUAAAACUUCGCACGGUCAUUCAAUUAUUGGGUUCGUGUGUAAUAGGUUAGGUAAUACGAACAUUGUGAAUGCAGAAAUAAAUCAAUUUACAUAAUA